rnacentral:rRNA from 1 species
UACGUAGGGAGCAAGCGUUGUCCGGAAUCAUUGGGCGUAAAGCGCACGUAGGCGGCUCGGCAAGUCGGAUGUGAAAUCCCUCGGCUCAACCAAGGAAGUGCAUCCGAAACUGCUGAGCUUGAGUACUUAAGAGGAUCGCGGAAUUCCCGGUGUAGAGGUGAAAUUCGUAGAUAUCGGGAGGAACACCAGUGGCGAAGGCGGCGAUCUGGGAAGAUACUGACGCUGAGGUGCGAAAGCGUGGGGAGCAAACAGG